GGGCCUGUAAUUCAGCCUGGUAGAAUGCGCCGCUGGCUGCGGCGAUGCCUCGGGUUCGAAUCCCGACGGGUCCA
rnacentral:tRNA from 1 species